rnacentral:rRNA from 1 species
AGUGAACGCUGGCGGUAGGCCUAACACAUGCAAGUCGAACGGCAGCACAGUAAGAGCUUGCUCUUACGGGUGGCGAGUGGCGGACGGGUGAGGAAUACAUCGGAAUCUACUUUUUCGUGGGGGAUAACGUAGGGAAACUUACGCUAAUACCGCAUACGACCUACGGGUGAAAGCAGGGGAUCUUCGGACCUUGCGCGAUUGAAUGGGCCGAUGUCGGAUUAGCUAGUUGGCGGGGUAAAGGCCCACCAAGGCGACGAUCCGUAGCUAGUCUGAGAGGAUGAUCAGCCACACUGGAACUGAGACACGGUCCAGACUCCUACGGGAGGCAGCAGUGGGGAAUAUUGGACAAUGGGCGCAAGCCUGAUCCAGCCAUACCGCGUGGGUGAAGAAGGCCUUCGGGUUGUAAAGCCCUUUUGUUGGGAAAGAAAAGCAGCAGGUUAAUACCCCGCUGUUCUGACGGUACCCAAAGAAUAAGCACCGGCUAACUUCGUG